CCUGUAGCUCAGGGGAUAGAGCAAUGGUUUUCUAAACCAUCGGUCGGAGGUUCGAAUCCUUCCAG
rnacentral:tRNA from 1 species